rnacentral:rRNA from 1 species
GAUGAACGCUGGCGGCGUGCCUAAUACAUGCAAGUCGAGCGAACGGACGAGAAGCUUGCUUCUCUGAUGUUAGCGGCGGACGGGUGAGUAACACGUGGAUAACCUACCUAUAAGACUGGGAUAACUUCGGGAAACCGGAGCUAAUACCGGAUGAUAUUUUGAACUGCAUGGUUCAAAAGUGAAAGACGGUCUUGCUGUCACUUAUAGAUGGAUCCGCGCUGCAUUAGCUAGUUGGUAAGGUAACGGCUUACCAAGGCAACGAUGCAUAGCCGACCUGAGAGAGUGAUCGGCCACACUGGAACUGAGACACGGUCCAGACUCCUACGGGAGGCAGCAGUAGGGAAUCUUCCGCAAUGGGCGAAAGCCUGACGGAGCAACGCCGCGUGAGUGAUGAAGGUCUUCGGAUCGUAAAACUCUGUUAUUAGGGAAGAACAUAUGUGUAAGUAACUGUGCACAUCUUGACGGUACCUAAUCAGAAAGCCACGGCUAACUACGUG